CGGUAGCGCGGCGGGACCCCGGGCCUGUGAUGGGAAGCAAAGGAACGCUGAUAGAUGUUACCAGCGGUGAUCCUUGCCCGGUUAAGACACGACUGAACCAGAUCACUACUGGAACUUGGUGCAACUCUCAGGGAAACAAAUCUGCCUGUCCUGUGCUCACAGAUGCAGCAAGAGAA
rnacentral:lncRNA from 12 species